CCCCUCCCUAGCUCCAGGUGGGCUCGUCCCCGGCCCGAGUGCUGUCCCUGUAUAGAGAGGGCGGCGCUCCGGAUACCCCGGCCGGUACCUGGCUGCGAGGGGCGCCGGUGGUCGCAGCACUGGCACGGAGAGCCUACAGGUGGUCUGUGAAGUUGGCGCUCGACUCGAUCCUGCUGGGCGGGUUCGACUCUGACGACGAGCUCCUGGACACGCUGGAGGAGUACAGCACCGACUGGUACAUCGGACUGGACUCGGACCCCGGCUGGCGGCAGGCGGUCCUUCAGCACAAACCGUCACUGUUCUCGCUCGGAUAUGAUGACUCCAGGAACACCUACACGUCGCAUCUGCUGAGUCUGGGCGACCAGACUGUCUCGGUGGGCAGUCUGAGCGCCGAGCUGGUCCGAGGAGUCUGGGCCAGUCUGGCGCUGGAGCUGCUGUACGUCACCAAUGACGACGAGGAGCGGUACAGCAUUCAGGCGCACCCGAUGAUCCUCCGUAACCUGACCGUGCAGGCGGCCGACCCGCCGCUCGGCUACCCCGUCUUCUCCGGGCCGCCCGUGCGCAGCAGCCACGUGUGAGAACCAGUGAGUGCCGCGGGUGAUAUCACGUGUGAUGACAGUCAGCAGCCACGUGUUAUAUACGCAGCAGCCACGAGUGAGUGCCACGUGUGAUGACCGUUAAAGCCACGAGUGAUGUGAUGGCCGUCAGGGCCACGUGUGAUUUCAACACAGCAGCCACGUGUUGGAUAUUCACAGCAGCAACGAGUGAGGACCACCGGGAUCACGUAGCCACUUAUAAUGACUGGAGAACCCACGUGAAAUACUUGCCACUGCUACGUGUAAUAGCUACGUGUGAUAAUGGCCAUCAUUGGUAGAUGUGGUGAACGAAGAAGUGACACACGAUGACCGUCAGUAUCACGUCGUGUUAUAUGAUCACAUCAGUCACCUGUGAUAGCACCAGGGCACCUCGUUGUAAACUGCACUCAGGCUUUUUCGUGAUACCGUCCGUGGCUUUAGGUGACGUGUCAUAUUCAGAACGUGUAAUGACCACUAGUUGUGAUUAUGUAAGAUCUCCACUAUUGUGAUGGCGUGGCGGUGGUACAGGGAAAGGCAGCUGCAGGGAAGGAUUGAGGCAGCCACUGCGACGCGCGGGUUUUUCCACGUGCACACUGUGAUUUCUCACGCGACGCUUCUCGCAUUGUUUCUGUGUGAUUCACUUCACUCGCAGGGAAUAUGGUGACGUUGUUGAGCACUAGUGCGCCUUUGGUCCUGUUGGUAGUUAAUGACAACAAGUAUUGAUCCGAGACCGGCCAGUCGCUAGUCAUGCACUUGUUGAUGUUCGUACAAAACGUGCCCGCUUGAUCUCAAAUCUAGUCACUCAGGGCUGAAGCCAUGUGAGGGGAGCCCGAAUUACACAUAUCCAUUAGUGCACCGCCCACAUAAUACGAUGACGUCAUGACGUUCGUAGUUGGUACACGUCACGCCUGAUGACGUCAUAACUUUGUACACGUCAGCUGAUGUUCGUCGGCACGGUUGCUAAAUGUCUGUUCACGGAAAUUUCGAAAGCGUUCGGCUAUGUAAAAAGUUAUGUAAAAAGCGCUCGCUGUUCGUGAUAUUUGUAUAAUAAGCGCUACAGUUCAACAUUGUUGAGAGAGUUGGCUGCCGUUUAUUGUCAAUAAGCUAGAUUACUGAAGUUGAGUGCGUAAGCUUCGCAAAUCACCGCGAGCGCGCGAUAAUUGUGGUCUUCAUAGUUUUGUGAUCGUGUAAA
rnacentral:lncRNA from 1 species